GGUGGGGAAAGGUUCCUCUGCUGUGGGAGAGGGGCUGCUCUGGGUGCUUUUCCCCUUUUUAUGGGUAUUGUGGUUGGCCUGGAGCAAGAACCUACCUGAAACCUGGCCUCAGUUCAUGGAAACAGGCCUUCAGCAUCCUGUUGGAGACAGCCACAGCCUGGGAGAAAAGCAGAAGUUCAAGGUCGCGGGUGAAGCCAACAGCCCCCCCCCCCGCGGGUCCCCGGCGCCUACUCGGCAGCUGCUCCCUGACCCCCCCCCAAGCGAUGGCUCAAGUCACCUCGAACCCGUAACCGAAGCGCGGGCAGGAGCCCCCUGAGCAAACCAGCCCCUCCUUUAACGCCAUUUCCUUACGCUGCUUAUUUUCCUCCUGCCUAAACAAAGCCCAGCCGUGACCGUGUCCAUGCUCUGCCGUGAGCUGGAAGCAGCGAUUGGAGCUGAUGGGAAGGAAAAAGGGGUGAGGAGAAGCGCUCCGAGAGGGCACAGCGGGGACCGUUAAGGAGUAACAGGACGGCCUUCGAUUGUGGCUUCUUAAAGCCAGUUUCCAGCAGCCCCGCUCAGGCAGGACGAGCCCUUCCACCGCACCUCCAGACCCCGCUGCCAAGGACGGGCUUCAUCGCGCUUGAGCUCUGGAAACAAACGGUCUGACGUGGCGUCUUUGUUCUAGCAUUAUAAUCCUCUAUCAAGCCAAGAACGUGGCGCCCGUUUUUGUCUGCCCACAUGCGAUGCCCAGGCACAAGACGAGGGGUACAGGCCGUACUGGAAGAUGAAGUGCUGCUGCAGCGUGAAGUGCUGUCUACAUCGUCUUUAGAGGCUGAAUAACCGAGCCAGUGUUGAUCAACCAUCAAUAGUCAUGGGGAGAAAUGAGCGCCUCCAGAGAGUGACUCAUCCGACAUACCCUUCACGCACCUCCCUGCGGAUGAGAUGCCCUGUCCUCAGAAGAGACCUGCCUUUCUCCAGCGCCUCCACGAGAAGCUCUGGGUAACCAGCACAGAUUUAGAUGUCUAACUAAGUCUAAGUGUGAUGAAUCCUACUCUGACAAUCUUAUUGCGCCAGUCAUAUAAGUGUUAAAUUGUGUAUCCAGCCAGUCAAAUUCCAGCCGAAGUAAUCCUCAUAAUGUACUGUAUUUAUGCUACUCAUCCCACAGCUAUGUGUAAUGUUACAGUACAGUCUGAGAAGUGCCACAUUCCACUCUCAGGGUGGCUGCCUCUGAAAUGCAAGUCAAGUAAUUGUUAUUGCUCUUUAUAACCUGCUUAUACCAGUAAAACACUUCAGGACCCACUGAAAUUAACGUUACUAUUAAAAGUAUUUUUCAGUUGAUUGGUUAUCCCAGUAUCUCCUAUGCUUUAGAGCUUGAGAUAACUACAUGAGUGUCAACUAUUUGGUUAAUAGAGAAAUAACCAGGUGGCAAAAAAAUUAGCUGAAUGUAUGAGGAGGAUGCCUUUCAGCUCUGGCAGUUCAAUUCAAUUUGAUGUGCUGCACUUCCUCCGAGUAAUCUCAUUUUAUUGUAAUCCCAAUUGAAGCUUUUACCCACUACCUAACUGGGAUGUAGUGUGCCAUGAUACGCACCUCUUGUCGUUACUGAAAGACUCAAAGGCUCUAGAAGCCUGGCACUAAUGGCAUUUUACUAUCUAUAUGUUAAAGAGUUGAGGUAGCUAUGUGAACUCAAAAGGCUUUUUCCUUUCAGAUUCUAACAAAGCAAUUCAACUUCAAGUGGCAAGGCUUGAUGGUCUCAUCUUGAUUCUAAUUUAAUUUAUUGCCCAUCACCCAGCUUUAUCCUAUUUGAAAAGUUAUGCUAUCACAGUUCUACUGAAAGGCUUUAGAAUAUAACUAUUAGUUAUCUCACAUAAUAAGGGAUAAUGUAGAGCCAGUGGUAAUAAGGCCACAAUCCUGCAAUUUGACCCACUACUGAGACUACUACUUCUGUGCAGAGCCCCGCUGACAUCAAUUACGCUCUCCAUAGCUGCAAAGGUCCAUCUAACCAGAGUAAAGUGGAGCAUCAGGGCCUACAAUUGCAACACACUUGAGUUUUCAUUAUGUUUUGUGCUGAAAAAGUGAGUGCUGAGGAAGCGUACCUUGAAGGUUUCAAAGGAAACGCUGACUGAAAGACAAGCACUAUUGAAAAUCACAGCAAAGAGGAAGGAAAUAUUCAUUCCCACGUUAAGCAAAAUAAAGGCAUACUAAAGCUGACGGUAAGUCUCAAUAGAUACUUUAGUUACUUACGGGUUAAAAAAAGCAAACAAACCCCCUUUUAAUGCUAACUGCCAUUAAUAACCUUUGAAACCUAGGAAACUCAAAAUUAAACCUUUGAUUUUAUUUUGAAGCCUAACAUUUGAAAUGAUUGAAGCAAUUAUUUAGUUCUAGUUGCACUGCAAACCUCAGCUCUAUAGUAACGAUGCAGUCAUUACCAACACUUGAGUCAUUUUAUAGAGUACUAGAAGCCCAGAGGCAUUUAAAUACUUAGAGAAUCUAAACAUUAAAAAUAGCAUGGCAAAAUUAGUGGGCAGAUGUGUGCAUAUACAUCCAUAUAAUAUUUAUCAGAGAAGAAUAAUUCUAUGCAUUAACUUUGGUUGCACAAACAACUCAAUAUCAUACGAAUUUAACAGGCUCUCAUCAACA